rnacentral:tRNA from 1 species
GGGGAUUUGGCUCAGUGGUAGAGCGCUUGCCUAGCAAGCGCAAGGUCCUGGGUUCCAUCCCCAGCUCCG